UUUCUCCUCCACCCUGCAUAGGCACAAAAUCCAGCUUUAUCCAGUGAUGGGCUGGGGUUUCUCUCAUGUAGGGAGAGUUUUUACCCCCUACAAGAAGUAUUUACCCCCUACAAGAAGUCUCCCUCACUCCCUGAGAGCUGCUGCCCCAGGUGUGACUGCAGCCAUGCAUUUCACCUCAGGCUGUGCCCUCUCCUCACGGUCCUGGCAUGGUUUGGGGAGGAGCUGUCCUCAGCAUUGCUCUGCUUAACUAAAAGAAGACUUCUGUGUAGGGGGUGGAAAAGAAAGGCCAGUCUGCAGGAAACAAUGGGUUGUCCUCUGUAAAAGGCACCAGAGAACAAAGCUGCUUUGGUACAGGUUUUCUCUGGGGUUUUGUCAUGGCCGCUGAUGGCUUUUCUCUGCUGGCCACUGGUGACUGCUUUUUGUCAGGACCCACGAACACCUCAUUUUCUAAAUGGUUUGAGUGCUGGAUGAAGGACUCAUCUGUCUGGGGAAGGAGCAGUGCCAGCCCUACCUGACCUGUCCUUCCAUCUGCUCAUGUUCCAGCAGGGCACCCUGAACCCACCUCUACCCUGUGACUUCUCUCCUGGGAGUCAAGCACCUUCCCAGUUCCUAACAGCACUGUGGAACCUGGCUCCUCACAUUUCUCCUAAGGUCCCAUUUCCUCAGCUUGGCCUGCAGCAGGAUCUUUCCAGAGGAUGUUUAAAACCAAAAAGCAUCAGCAUUUUUCAGCAGAUAUACCAUUAUCUGGCUGGUUCUCUAUUCCAAGGAUAAAGACUGUUCCCAACAUUGAAGCUGUCUUGGGAGCACUGAUGAAUGUCAUUCUUCCUGCAGAGGCUCAGUCAUGAGAGUGGAUGUCAGGGAACAGGACACUUUGAGGCUCUGCCACCAGACCUCAUCUGUCUGAGCCCCAGAUGUCCUCUUGAUAUGGCAGAAAUAAGAAUUAGAGCUGCACUGAAAGCAUACGAAGCCUAAAAGGAACCUCGGGUAGAACAGAUGCUGUUUGCAAGAAAAUACCUAUUUAUGUAUAAAUGUUUGGGAUGUUUGUAAUAAAAAAUCACACAAGCCAGACA
rnacentral:lncRNA from 1 species